CCCAUUGUAACAUCGUCUGGCAUUAGACGGAGUAAAAUAAUGAAGUAGGGCACAUUAGGGCGCGAUGCAACUUAAUGGGUUGAUGAAAGAGAAGAUCACUGAGCUGAAUUUAAAAACAGCAUAACAGGCGAAAAACAAAACCACGAAUACAAAGCGCGAAAAGGUUGACUAAUAUAAACAAAAAUGCUUUAGAGUUAAGUUUCAUAUUUUCUUUUUCAUAUUAUAACAUGUUUUCUAAAGCGUGUUUUUUAAUGGGCUUUAAUUGUCCGAAUUUUCAUUAUGACCAGAAUAAGGGAAUAUUGUAGAGAAUUUCUUUAGCCUUCAAUUUAAGCCUAAGUUUGUUUGCGUAGCAUGUUGGCGGCUAGAAUGUUCGUUAUCCAAACAAGUAAUUAUAUAUUAAAAUGCGUAAAUUCUUCAGUACAUUUUACCGAAAUGGCAUGGGAUAAAAACCAAACAUACUUGCAGGUUCGGUGAGUCCGGGAUUGGACGCACCUCGGGUGGCUGGAAGUUUCCCGAACCCACCUCGCUUCGCUCGGUGCGGUCCAAUCCCGGCAUGGCGGAGUGCUCAUCUCCCUGCAAGUAUAUUUGUUAUAUUGCCACCACAGCUUAUUGUAGAAUACUACCUACACUGGACCACCACGUUUGAGAUAUCUUUUUCAGGUAGUUCAGACACAAACCACGACAGCUUAUUGUAGAAUACUACCUACACUGGAUCACCACGUUUGAGAUAUCUUUUUCAGGUAGUUCAGACACAAACACGACAGCUUAUUGUAGAAUACUACCUACACUGGACCAUCAAGUUUGAGAUAUCUUUUUUCAGGUAGUUCAAACACAAACCUGCAUCUUACCAGUUACCUUUCUUUAUUGUGAGACUGCAUGUGUCUGGUUUAAUGUACGAUAUAAAUAACAAUAAUGCACCAUUAAAUAUAUUGAAUUUGUUUUAUAAAUCGUCCAGUAUUCUGGGUUAGAGAUACAAAAACAAUCCUCUCGAUUUGGUGUUAAACUUUGGAAUGGAAUACCAUAUCAUAUAACGAUUCUAUCUAAGAAACUAUUUAAAAAGACUCUUCGGCAACUACUUUUUGAUAUUUUGGAAAAAGAAGAUGACUAUAUUCAAAUCCCCACGAUAAUUAAGAAAAUAGGACUAACUAUAUAAAAAUUAUUAAACUCCGUACAUUCAAAGCUUCUAAAGCUACCAAUUCAUUUCAAAAUAAAAU